GAUGAACGCUGGCGGCGUGCCUAAUACAUGCAAGUCGAGCGAACAGAUGAGGAGCUUGCUCCUCUGACGUUAGCGGCGGACGGGUGAGUAACACGUGGAUAACCUACCUAUAAGACUGGGAUAACUUCGGGAAACCGGAGCUAAUACCGGAUAAUAUAUUGAACCGCAUGGUUCAAUAGUGAAAGACGGUUUUGCUGUCACUUAUAGAUGGAUCCGCGCCGCAUUAGCUAGUUGGUAAGGUAACGGCUUACCAAGGCAACGAUGCGUAGCCGACCUGAGAGGGUGAUCGGCCACACUGGAACUGAGACACGGUCCAGACUCCUACGGGAGGCAGCAGUAGGGAAUCUUCCGCAAUGGGCGAAAGCCUGACGGAGCAACGCCGCGUGAGUGAUGAAGGUCUUCGGAUCGUAAAACUCUGUUAUUGGGGAAGAACAAAUGUGUAAGUAACUAUGCACGUCUUGACGGUACCUAAUCAGUAAGCCACGGCUAACUACGUG
rnacentral:rRNA from 1 species